rnacentral:rRNA from 1 species
UACAGAGGUGGCAAGCGUUGUUCGGAAUUACUGGGCGUAAAGGGCGCGUAGGCGGCUCGACAAGUCCCGCGUGAAAGCCCCCGGCUCAACUGGGGAACUGCGCGGGAAACUGUCGGACUUGAGUUCGGGAGAGGGAAGCGGAAUUCCGGGUGUAGCGGUGAAAUGCGUAGAUAUCCGGAGGAAUACCGGUGGUGUAGACGGCUCUCUGGACCGCAACUGACGCUGAAACACGAAAGCGUGGGUAGCAAACAGG